GGAGGCCUGUGAUGAUCUGAAUACUUGCCUACAUUGUCAGAUUGUCUUAUAUGAUUGACUAAGGACUACCCAAGAUGUUAUCUGAGGCCUCC